GACGAACGCUGGCGGCGUGCUUAACACAUGCAAGUCGAACGGUAAGGCCCUUCGGGGUUCACGAGUGGCGAACGGGGGAGUAACACGGGGGUAAUCUGCCCGGCACAUCGGGAUAAGCCUGGGAAACUGGGGCUAAUACCGAAUAGGACCACAAGACACAUGUCCUGUGGAGGCAAGCGUUUGCGGUGUGGGGUGGGCCCGCGGCCGACCAGCUUGUUGGUGGGGGGUGGGGCUACCAAGGCGACGACGGGUAGCCGGCCUGAGAGGGUGUCCGGCAACACUGGCACUGUGAUACGGCCCAGGCUCCUCCGCGAGGCAGAAGUGGGGAAUAUUGCACAAUGGGCGAUCGACUGAUGCCGCGUCGCCGCGUGGGGGCUGCCGGCCUUCGGGUUGUAAACCUCUUUCACCAUCGACGAAGGUCAGGGUGUUCUCGGGCUGACGGUAGGUGGAGAAGAAGCACCGGCCAACUACGUG
rnacentral:rRNA from 1 species